rnacentral:rRNA from 1 species
AUACGGAGGGGGCUAGCGUUGUUCGGAAUUACUGGGCGUAAAGCGCACGUAGGCGGAAUAAAAAGUUAGAGGUGAAAUCCCAGGGCUUAACCCUGGAACUGCCUUUAAAACUAGUAGUCUAGAGUUCGAGAGAGGUGAGUGGAAUUCCAAGUGUAGAGGUGAAAUUCGUAGAUAUUUGGAGGAACACCAGUGGCGAAGGCGGCUCACUGGCUCGAUACUGACGCUGAGGUGCGAAAGCGUGGGGAGCAAACAGGAUUAGAAACCCUAGUAGUCC